AUUUCAUCAGUCCUGCGUUCACCCCAGAUUUGCCAAUGUCCAUGUCUGGCCAUUGCGAAUCUCCUUCUCAGUAGUCUAGAAAUUCGCCUCAGUUUUCCCUCCACUCUGGCUCCUUCUGUUAAAAGAUCACAGCAGAACCUCAAAACCUGUCCUGCAGUUCCAGUUCAUAGCACCCUCUCCUCAAAGCAGACGGCUCAGAUGAAGUGCCUGGAAGGAGUCCCUGGGAAGCAGAUCUGUGUCCGGCAUUUUAUGAGAUUCUCUUGUACCCAGCCUGGCUUUGAACUUGCUAAGUAGCCAAGGAUCUCCCCAAGCUUCCAAUCCUACUGCUGAUGCCUCCUAAGGCUGAAUUGCCAAUUAUGACCAUGAGGAAAUGAAAGGUCGACACCUGGGGUGACCUGUCAAGGCCACAAACUACAGAAUGGAAGGGGGAGAACUUGAGCCCCAGCCACGUCUUCCACGUCUACUGUCAACCACUGUGCACUUCUUCCUAGUGACAAUGCUUCUGGAUCACUACAAAUAUCACCUACUCCAGUGUCUCCCACUCAGCCUCUACAUCCAGGUACACAGCCCAGAGUCACCUUAGAAGAGAGUUUCAGAUGAGAAUUUGCAG
ensembl:lncRNA